rnacentral:lncRNA from 1 species
AAGCAAUCUAAUAUUUUCUUACUUGCAAUACAAAAUUGUCAUCUAAAACUCGUUAUGUAAAACUUUAAACUAAUUUGUUAUUAUUAUAUUCAUAAUGAGAAGUGUUCAAUACAUAAAUAUAAAUUCCAUUAGAAUAUAUUCCAAUGUAUUCUAUAGUAUACAAUCUUUUGUUUAUUAUCCCAAACAACAUGAGUUAUGCUCCUGCUCUUCGUUCUAAACACGUAUAUUAUACACAGAGUAUUACAUAUUUGACCUCGGAUAUUUUUUCUAUUAACAUUUCUGUCUUCUCGUUAAUGUAAACCAUUAUGAAUUUAAUGACAAUCUUCGUCAAUAUCUAGAUAACAUACAUUAAAAAAGGAUAAAACGACAUUGAAACUCAUCAAUCGAAAACUAAACUGACCACCCUAUGUCAACAAAAGAAGAACAAGACAAACAAACAACUGUAGAAAAAAAACAUUAUAGAAAACCGAAGACUAAGCAACACAAACCCCAUCAUUAACUGGACAUGCUCAAGAUAAGUUAAUCUUUCAAGUUAAACUGGACAUUAUUAAUGUUUAAAUGUUCCAAAUGUAAAGACCUUUUGUUUUUGUUUGAAAAUAUUAAAUCAUUCUUAAAAAGUACACUAUUUAACCACCGUAAGGCAUUCGAACAGCAUCUGAUUAUCUUCGUCAUGUCUGUA